CGUACGGGUGAGUAACACGUGGGUAAUCUACCUCUUAGUGAGGAAUAACCCUGGGAAACCGGGGCUAAUACCGCAUAAGCCUGAGAAGGGAAAGCGGCUUUGCUUAAAACAGAGCCGCGCUGAGAGAGGAGCCCGCGGCCGAUUAGCUAGUUGGUGAGGUAAGAGCCCACCAAGGCAGAGAUCGGUAGCCGGCCUGAGAGGGCACACGGCCACACUGGCACUGAAACACGGGCCAG
rnacentral:rRNA from 1 species